rnacentral:rRNA from 1 species
GUGGGGAAUAUUGGACAAUGGGCGAAAGCCUGAUCCAGCAAUGCCGCGUGAGUGAUGAAGGCCCUAGGGUUGUAAAGCUCUUUUACCCGGGAUGAUAAUGACAGUACCGGGAGAAUAAGCCCCGGCUAACUCCGUGCCAGCAGCCGCGGUAAUACGGAGGGGGCUAGCGUUGUUCGGAAUUACUGGGCGUAAAGCGCACGUAGGCGGCUGUUCAAGUCAGAGGUGAAAGCCUGGAGCUCAACUCCAGAACUGCCUUUGAAACUAGACAGCUAGAAUCAUGGAGAGGUGAGUGGAAUUCCGAGUGUAGAGGUGAAAUUCGUAGAUAUUCGGAAGAACACCAGUGGCGAAGGCGGCUCACUGGACAUGUAUUGACGCUGAGGUGCGAAAGCGUGGGGAGCAAACAGG